rnacentral:tRNA from 1 species
AAGUAAUGAAGUAAAAUUACACUUAGUUUCGACCUAAAAAUAGAGAAUUAUUCUCCUUACUUU